rnacentral:lncRNA from 1 species
UGUUUGAUGUAGAAAAGCCUUUUUCCACCAUGAUGGUUAAAUCUUAGGUUUGUUGUCCUAUGUAGAAGGAAGAUACGAUCAAGAAGAAUGGGGAAAAGCUAACUCCUUUUUAAUCCUGGAGCAUGGCGACGGGGAGAUGAAAGCCAGAGAAAUGAGAUGGAAGGAGAGUUGGUCAGUCAAACAUGCGUCCUCAUGUCCCUUCCCAAGACUCUCUCCCAAAGGAGAGCAAGAUGAGCGUCUGGUACCUGUGAGCACUACAAACCCAGGUCCACUUUAUGUUACAAUUUUCAACUUGUGUACUGAGGUUCACUGAAACAGCAUAGAUUCAAGCUCCAAACCAAAGGCAGGGGUGAUCAUACAGAUUGCAUCUCAUUGGGACUCUGCUGUUCACUCUCUUCUAUUUGUACUUGGCCAAUUAUCAAAUUCAAUAGCCACUUGCUCAUCCAAAGAUUUACCAUACAUCGGCAUCCCAUUCUAUGCCACCACCAGUGAUAACGUGAGUACUCAAGAUGCCACUGUAUGCCACAAAUUGUCAUUGUUGAAACUCUCCUUAGCAAGGAGGUCAUCCCUAUGUUUACUUAAUAUAUGAGUAACCCAGAUCCGAAAUUCCUUCUUGGAUAUAGCCACUCCUGGUACCAGCUACUUAUCAGUUAGUACAACAGGAGAUAGAAUUCUCUCAAAGAGUUUGAAUACAGAGAAUUUAAUAAUGAGACUAUUUAUAGAGAUGAGGCAGGGUUCAAGGAACAAACAAGGGAUAUUGAAUCACCUAGAGACUAGUAACAGUUAGCACUCCUUGUGUUGAAGGGACUACAUGUUGAAAUGGUUUUGCUGAAGCCCAUGAGGCUAGAAUUGUGAGUAGAGACUAUCCAGGAGUAGCUGAGUUUGUGGAGUAAUGCAGCUGGCCAGAGAGAAACGACGGUGAAGGAGCAAUGGAGCAGAGAAGACAGAGCCUAAUCUACCUCUUCUUUCAGUGGUGAUUAUAAAUAUCAUGGAAUGCUUGCUUUUGGCUGUGCUGGGGAACUUAGAAAAGAAAACAAAAAGAUAAACCUUAGAUUUUGAAAUCUCAACUCAAGGCACAGGUAGAAAACCAAAAAGCUCCUAUAGUGACGGUAAAAGCUACCUUUAUAUCCAAAAAUCAGCUAUGCAUAGGUUAAGUCCUCAAAACUAACUGCAUGGAUUGCAUAGCUGCAGUACAUGUUAAAUGCUAGUUUCAUUGACUCUAUUUGGCUGAAGUUAGACAACUGAUUGAGAAGGAAAGGGACCCUUACUAUGGCAGGAUGAGAUGAAGGUAAGAAACUUUAGCCCUCAAAUCCUUUGACUUGAACCCUGAACGUCCUUUGCUGGCAG